AACGAACGCUGGCGGCGUGCUUAACACAUGCAAGUCGAACGCGAAAGGGACUUCGGUCCUGAGUAAAGUGGCGCACGGGUGAGUAACGCGUAGAUAACCUGUCUUCAUGUCUGGAAUAAUACACCGAAAGGGGUACUAAUACCGGAUAUUCUUGCUUUAUAUAAGUUUUGUCAAGCAAAGGUAGGCCUCUGAUUCAAGCUACUGCAUGUAGAGGGGUCUGCGUACCAUUAGCUAGUAGGUAGGGUAAUGGCCUACCUAGGCAACGAAUGGUUAGCGGUCUGAGAGGAUGAUCCGCCACACUGGCACUGGAACACGGGCCAGACUCCUAC
rnacentral:rRNA from 1 species